AAACUUUAUUGUCAAUUCAAUUUUUCUUCUCUACAGCCAAACCACAAACAUGGGACGAACACAAAACAGAGCAGAGCUGAACAUGCCACCACACACACACACACACACACACACACACACACACACACACACACACACACACACACACACACACACACACACACACACACACUUCU